CUGGAGGUAUCAGAAGUGCGAAUGCUGACAUAAGUAACGAUAAAGCGGGUGAAAAGCCCGCUCGCCGGAAGACCAAGGGUUCCUGUCCAACGUUAAUCGGGGCAGGGUGAGUCGACCCCUAAGGCGAGGCCGAAAGGCGUAGUCGAUGGGAAACAGGUUAAUAUUCCUGUACUUGGUGUUACUGCGAAGGGGGGACGGAGAAGGCUAUGUUGGCCGGGCGACGGUUGUCCCGGUUUAAGCGUGUAGGCUGGUUUUCCAGGCAAAUCCGGAAAAUCAAGGCUGAGGCGUGAUGACGAGGCACUACGGUGCUGAAGCAACAAAUGCCCUGCUUCCAGGAAAAGCCUCUAAGCAUCAGGUAACAUCAAAUCGUACCCCAAACCGACACAGGUGG
rnacentral:rRNA from 1 species